UCCAACACACUUUAUUCUUUUUUUUUCUUAAUUUUCAAUGAUCAAGUAUUCAAGAUGUUGUAAACCAAGGUUUAUUAGUACAUUGGCGAUAGAUUUCAUCAAACACAAGGAAAUUAAACAUCUUUUAAAUUACCCUAAGAGUUUUCCAAAUAAAUAUUCAUUGUAAAAAUCACAAAAUCAAACUCCUUUAUGCAACAACUCAAAACGGCCUUUCAUUACCGACACACUUUCACACAAAACACACACACCGAACACACACUCCACCAGGAUCCUAAUGCCAGUUUGACACAGUAUUACAUCUCCUUUAACUAAAGAGUUAGAGGCUGACCUGCCUAUUUCAUGCUUCUAAAUUAACAUUUGGGGUUUGGGGCAGAGGUAUGUAUUUCAAGAAAAAUGCCCACUAUAAAGUCUUAUCAAUUAUUCUUAUUUUUCAUUUCUAGAUACAAAAUUUAAACACCUUAUGUUCAUCCCUUUGGUUUAAUACGUCCCUGCAAUUACUUUAGUUUUGGAUAUUUUCUCCUCUGAUUUUAAUAUGUAAUAGAAUACCAGAAAAAGACAACACCUCCCAAACCCCAAUUAUUAAAAACACCUUAUAAGGGUGUCAGGUUUUUGGAGAAUAAAUAAGAAAAGAUUAUGUGAAAUAUCCCCCCCCCUUGAAAUUAUUUUUAGCAUCUGAUUAUUCUUGCUAAAAGAAAUAUCAAAAACGCUGAGCUUUCCAUAGAAAAGGUAUGCCCCCUUAGGGUCUUCAUCUUUGCAGCGGAAAGUUCAUGGAUUAACUGGUCACAAGAGUAAUGAGUGCUUGUUUUCUGGGAAGUUCUCUAGAUCUCCAAAAGCAAAGCACAUGCAGUCCUUUAUCAGUGAAACACUGUAAAUUCAGUGGCGCAUUUUUGUGGUGACAUGCAUCAUCAAAUACUUUUAGCACCGAGGCAUUUUUUUGUUUUAUGUUGCACAAGCAAAUACCCAAGGAGGGUUUUCAUCAUAUUUGACCCUUCUUAGGGCCGAGUAAAAAUGAAGUGUUUAAAAUAACCUGUUCAAACAUACACAGAUCUGAUUCCAAUGAAGCAAGAAGUCUGCAACAGACACAGCCAGCAGCAUCCAGGAAGAUGAGGAAAAGAGAGAAAACAAAAAAGAUAAAGUGCACAGGCUACAACCUUCGCCUGCCAGCCAUGGCAUGCUCUUCCAUAUCAGGAAAGAGGAACUACAAAUAAUGUGUAGAGGCUACCUAGUGGUCUGUAGAACAGAAUUAGCAAACCUGUAGUCUAGGCAAUUCUGGGAUCAUACAGUGUUUUGGUAUCUAUCUGCUACUAGAUACUCUAGAAUACUCCAUAUGCACCUAUUUAGUGAUGGUUAUACUCAUGUUUCUGUGCCAUUUAAGAAGUUUGAAGUCCACACACAUUAAAAGUAUAAUUGGUUACCCCCUGGACUUGGGCUUUCCUACUGCUCCUGGGCACACUGGAGAAUUUCCACAAAUGCUUCAGGUCCAUGCUUCAAAUACUACACAGCUGCUCUUUGGUUGAUGCAAAACAGUCCCCAAAAAGAAACUUUCUGGCUCCCAAGUCCACCAAAGAAUGCAAACAGGAAUUGCAGACGGAGGAAGAAUUUUCCUGGUAGUUGGUGAAAAUGCAAGACUGCCACUACUUCCUCCUCCUCUGAUGGCUGCACUUCCAAGAGCAGGCUCCCAGCUACUGACGGUAACAAUCCAGCCAGUUGUUUGGUGUGGAGCAUGUAACAUUUUGUAUAUGUUCAUUUAACAUGUAACACUUUGUAUAUGUUCAUUUCAAACUUUUAUUAGGAAACUUUAAACCCAUAGUCACUAAAAAUUAAUGGAAAUGUUAACAUUCUGAAAGAGGCAGAAAAGAAAAAGAAAGAACACACUUAAAAUCCCCAAAGCUCAGAUUCAAUAAAUCUGAACCACAUUUCCUCAUGAUUCAUUUCAGAAGUUCUGAGACUCAAUGCUAACAUCAAAAUUGAUUUGUUCUAUAUUAAAUAUGAACUAUAAAUAAAUACUUGAGGUAUGUUAUGAUAAUUUUGAAUAUAACACUUAGCUAAAUAAAUGUAAAUUUACCUUGAAAAUCUAAACAUUAAAUUUUGAUGCUUCCUGCAGAUUUUUUUCUAUUCUACACAAAGGAAUAAUAACUUCUCUACUCUUCAGGAACAGUAACACAUCAACAAAUGAAAUGCUAUACCUUACUAAAUUAUAAUCACACUUGUCUUUGUUAACCUAAACCAUUAUAGGCAUUUAUAUAGAGUAAGAAACGAGUGAUGGAGAUAGAAACCUGAACCCUGAUUUGGCCACUCUGCAUAAUCCUAAAUAAAUCUCUUUAUCUCUGUGAGCCUGUUUUCAUGAUCUCUUAAAAAAAAAAAACGAUAAAAAUAGUUAUCUUGCAGGUUAACAGUAUUAAAAUAAAUGAUGUAUAUUAAGUACUUGACAAAAUUCUGAAUCAACACUCCACAAGAGCUAAUUUAUUUCUUCUCUGCUCCUCUUUAUUCCCCCCCUCACCUCAGUUCUGAAUGACUUCUGAAUGUUUUCAAGAAUUAAAUCUCCUUGCAAAGGAUAAGGAUCUCAUACUAAUGAAGAUAACAAAAAAUGUGCUCCAACCACCCACCUCUCCCUGGGGAGUUUCUAAAUUAAUAGGCUAGACUCGUGGAUAUUAUAUUUGCAUAUUAAAGCCAAAUAAUACAUUAAUCUACAGAGCUGAUAAAAAAAAACAAGGUGACCUUUUUCCAAAACGAUUAGAAGCCUAAGUUCAUAGAAAGUGGGAAUUAAACUUAUAAUAGGGGCUGUGACUAUAAAGUAACAAACAUAGAAGAACCUCAUAUCUACAGUUAAAUGGUGCCAUUUGCCAAAUAGUUACUUUAGUUGACUAUGUAAUAUUCCAAGGAUGCUAAGAGGACCUGAAGCAUUUUGGGGACAAUUCUUAAUUGGUACAUAUUCUAAAACCUCAGUCUUCUGUGAUUUAUACUACUUAUUCUACAUUAACCAACAACACAUUAAUGAUACACCCGCUAUUUAUAAGUAUCACAUACUUGAGGAAGUACAAUAUUAAUAUUGUGGUGUACAAUUCAGGCCAAUUUCUUGGAAUUCUGGCCAGUCAACCUAAAGAAUCUCAUAGAGCAGCAGAGGGUAAUUGGUUAAAAUAGUACCUGAUAGAGAACUGGUCAAUGGUUGCUGAACUAGAUGGAUGAGUGUUCAAAGGACUGUCUAAUUAUACCCAAAGAGUCAGUCACUUCCUACCUUGGAAUUCUGAGAGCAGCUCCUUUUCAAAAUAUACUACCAAGAAGAGAGAGAUUCUAAGAGUGUUGGAACAUACAAUCUUAGCUUAAAAAAAAAAAAAAAAAGUGCUAAUCCCAUCCAAAUUCUUUCAAUGCAGUUCCUUAGCAAUGAGGAAAGAAUUAAAAAAAUAUCACCUCUCCCCAACCUGUAUACCUUUAGCUCCAACACAAAAGGAAACUUUCUAAAGGGUCUAAAGGAUCAAAGAUCUCCCAUAGAGAGUAAAAGGGAACCCUAAGGCACCAGAGUAGACACUAAGUUAAUCAGCAAUAUUCUCUGAAGACCUUCAAAAUAUACCACGCGGAGCCAGGCGGAACAGACACCCAGAUAAUUAAAGGCAACAGCUUACUUAUGACUCAGACAAAUGAGAAUGGUCAAAGGGAAGCCCUUGUCACCUGAGACCACUGGCUCCGCCCUUUACAGACAUCAUUCAGUCUAACAGUGCUAACCCUCUCCACAAACUGCAUGUACCCAAAAGGGCCAUCUGACAAUACCGUUCUUCAGUAGAGAGGAAGGCGACCUGGUACCCACAAGCAAUCAUACAGCUCCACCAGUACCUCCAAGGAGGAAGGGCAAAGAGCCUGAAUCAUGGGACAGUUCGGUCAAUCCCUUCCCCCCGUUGAAGACUGGAAGUCAGCCAAGGAAAUCAUUUCCCAGAUUAGCCCCUACACAAGCAUAGGUUCCUUGGCAGAAACCAUUCACAAUUAUAUUGGCAUUUGGAAGCUAAGGUCCCUCUUAAGUCUGGGUUGCCAAGAUUCUUGUUCUGAGCAGCCAGAUCCCAUGAGUUAACCU
rnacentral:lncRNA from 1 species